GAUGAACGCUGGCGGCGUGCCUAAUACAUGCAAGUCGAGCGAACAGACGAGGCGCUUGCUCCUCUGACGUUAGCGACGGACGGGUGAGUAACACGUGGAUAACCUACCUAUAAGACUGGGAUAACUUCGGGAAACCGGAGCUAAUACCGGAUAAUAUAUUGAACCGCAUGGUUGAAUAGUGAAAGACGGUUUUGCUGUCACUGCUAGAUGGAUCCGCGCCGCAUUAGCUAGUUGGUAAGGUAACGGCUUACCAAUGCAACGAUGCGUAGCCGACCUGAGAGGGUGAUCGGCCACUCUGGAACUGAGACGCGGUCCAGACUCCUACGGGAGGCAGCAGUAGGGACUCUUGCGCGAUGGGCGAAAGCCUGCCGGAGCAGCGCCGCGUGAGUGAUGAAGGUCUUCGGAUCGUAAAACUCUCUUAUUAGGGAAGAACAAAUGUGUAAGUAACUAUGCACGUCUUGACGGUACCUAAUCAGAAAGCCCCGGCUAACUACGUG
rnacentral:rRNA from 1 species